UAUCUAUUCUCAUUCAGCCAUGGAACGCAGUUAUGUGAAGGAACUCGACAUCUGAGGAAUCACAAUACACGAGUUUCUGAGGAAAUGUGUAAGACCACUCAAUGGCCAACUGAACAGUUGGAUAGGACAAGACAACAGCCCAUCUUAGUGGGAUCUAAGCUUGCGUUAAACCACCUUCCUUUUCAAAUUUGAAAGAUGGACGUCUGCUUGAUCAAUGCAUGAAGAAACUAGGAACAUUUUCUUUAUCGGGGUGUGACUGCUGAGAAUUUGACAGUUCAACUUUGCAGCACAGAGUUAGUAAAGAUCAAUGGACUUGAGGAGAUUGAAGUUGUCAUUGGUCAUCCCUGACAAGUGAUCAUGGAGGAUAUCAACCACUUUGGAGACAAAGUUUCCAUUAGCCAAGAAUGGAAAACUUGAAUGGAGAUCAGGAAGGAGCCAAUCAGCACUAUUUAUACUGAUGCCAUGUUCACUGCACCGGCCACACUGGGAUCACUCCCAGUAACCAGUCUUUGGGUUUUACCUGCAUUCCUGAACCACAAUGACAGCAUAGAAGGCUGACACCUGAAAUAAACCUCAUUUCCAGGCUGGAAUAUUUCCAAUCUUCGGGUGCAGCGUGGACAUGGACUACCAAUCAAGCUGCUCUUGCAAGAGGCCUCUGAGGAUGUUUCCCUCAAUAUUUCCUGAACGACUGUGUCAGCAAAGAUCCCAGAGACAACUGUACAUUUCUAAUGAAUUGUCCACAUAUGUGAGAACACCAGAACAAGAGCCAUUGGAACUUUUCACACCCUAUCCUUUUUGCCUUCAAGGGCAAAUAAUUAUUGGCUAAAAAUGUUUUUUCCCAAAGUGAAUCUUUGCAGAGAAAUCUGUUUUCCUUCUUCGGAUGUGUGCGUGUUUGCUUACUUAGAAGGUAAAU